GCUGCGUUCUUUGACGUAGCGUCAGAAUGAAGCAACGGUCUUACUGCGUGCCAGCAGGCGCGGUAUUCCGGAGGGUGCGAGCAUUAAUCGGAAUUACUGGGCGUAAAGCGCAUGCAGGUGGUUUGUUAAUUCAGAUGUGAAAGCCCGGGGCUCAACCUCGGAAUAGCAUUUGAAACUGGCAGACUAGAGUACUGUAGAGGGGGGUAGACAUUUCAGGUGUAGCGGUGAAAUGCGUAGAGAUCUGAAGGAAUACCGGUGGCGAAGGCGGCCCCCUGGACAGAUACUGACACUCAGAUGCGAAAGCGUGGGGAGCAAACAGGAUUAGAUACCCUGGUAGUCCACGCCGUAAACGAUGUCUACUUGGAGGUUGUGGCCUUGAGCCGUGGCUUUCGGAGCUAACGCGUUAAGUAGACCGCCUGGGGAGUACGGUCGCAAGAUUAAAACUCAAAUGAAUUGACGGGGGCCCGCACAAGCGGUGGAGCAUGUGGUUUAAUUCGAUGCAACGCGAAGAACCUUACCUACUCUUGACAUCCAGAGAACUUUCCAGAGAUGGAUUGGUGCCUUCGGGAACUCUGAGACAGGUGCUGCAUGGCUGUCGUCAGCUCGUGUUGUGAAAUGUUGGGUUAAGUCCCGCAACGAGCGCAACCCUUAUCCUUGUUUGCCAGCGAGUAAUGUCGGGAACUCCAGGGAGACUGCCGGUGAUAAAUCUGAGGAAGGUGGGGACGACGUCAAGUCAUCAUGGCCCUUACGAGUAGGGCUACACACGUGCUACAAUGGCGCAUACAGAGGGCAGCCAACUUGCGAAAGUGAGCGAAUCCCAAAAAGUGCGUCGUAGUCCGGAUUGGAGUCUGCAACUCGACUCCAUGAAGUCGGAAUCGCUAGUAAUCGUGGAUCAGAAUGCCACGGUGAAUACGUUCCCGGGCCUUGUACACACCGCCCGUCACACCAUGGGAGUGGGCUGCAAAAGAAGUAGUGUAGUUUAACUCGGGCGGACGCCUUA
rnacentral:rRNA from 1 species